AGAGUUUGAUCCUGGCUCAGAACGAACGCUGGCGGCGCGUUUAAAGCAUGCAAGUCGAACGGACGUAUACCACUUCGGUGGUAUAGAGUUAGUGGCGAACGGGUGAGUAACGCGUAGAUGAUCUACCUUCAGGCGAGGGACAGUCCUGCGAAAGCGGGUUUAAUACCUCGUAAAGUAUAUGCUUUAGAUAGUGUAUAUGAAAGGCUUCGGUCGCCUGGAGAUGAGUCUGCGUACCAUUAGUUAGUUGGUGGGGUAAGAGCCUACCAAGACGAAGAUGGUUAGCCGGUCUGAGAGGAUGGACGGCCACAUUGGGACUGAGAUACGGCCCAGACUCCUACGGGAGGCAGCAGCUAAGAAUCUUCCGCAAUGGACGAUAGUCUGACGGAGCGACGCCGCGUGAACGAUGAAGGCCUUAUGGGUUGUAAAGUUCUUUUCAUAUGGAUAAAUGUAUUACUAUAGGUAAUGUUGAUGUUACAUAUGGAAUAAGCCCCGGCUAAUUACGUGCCAGCAGCCGCGGUAAUACGUAAGGGGCAAGCGUUGUUCGGAAUUAUUGGGCAUAAAGGGCGAGUAGGCGGUCUUGUAAGUUAUAGGUGGAAAGUUGAGGCUCAACCUCAAGUCGUGCCUGUAAAACUGCAGGACUAGAGUAUAGGAGAGGAUGCUGGAAUUCCUGGUGUAGGGGUGGAAUCUAUAGAUAUCAGGAGGAACACCUGUGGCGUAGGCGAGCAUCUGGCCUAAUACUGACGCUGAGGCGCGAAAGCGUGGGUAGCAAACAGGAUUAGAUACCCUGGUAGUCCACGCAGUAAACGUUGUAUACUAGGUGUAUGGGGUAUCGAUCCCCUGUGUGCCGUAGCAAAUGUAAUAAGUAUACCGCCUGGGGAGUAUGCCGGCAACGGUGAAACUCAAAGGAAUUGACGGGGGCCCGCACAAGCGGUGGAGCAUGUGGUUUAAUUCGAUGAUACGCGAAGAACCUUACCUGGGUUUGACAUUCUGACUGAUGGAUAAGAGAUUAUUCAGCCCUUUUGGGGGUCAGGACAGGUGCUGCAUGGCUGUCGUCAGCUCAUGUCGUGAGAUGUUGGGUUAAGUCCCGCAACGAGCGCAACCCUCAUGAUUAGUUGCCAUCUGGUAGAGCAGGCCACUCUAAUCAAACUGCCGGACGUAAGCCGGAGGAAGGUGGGGAUGACGUCAAGUCCUCAUGGCCUUUAUAUCCAGGGCUACACACGUGCUACAAUGGUUGGUACAAAGAGGAGCGAUAUCGCGAGGUGGAGCAAAUCUCAUAAAGCCAAUCAUAGUUCGGAUUGGAGUCUGAAACCCGACUCCAUGAAGCUGGAAUCGCUAGUAAUCGCAGAUCAGCACGCUGCGGUGAAUACGUUCCCGGGCCUUGUACACACCGCCCGUCACACCACCCGAGUUGGAUGUACCCGAAGUCGCUGUGCUAACCUUUUAGGGAGUAGGUGCCGAAGGUAUGUUUAGUGAGGGGGGUGAAGUCGUAACAAGGUA
rnacentral:rRNA from 1 species